UACGUAGGGUCCGAGCGUUGUCCGGAAUUACUGGGCGUAAAGAGCUCGUAGGUGGUUUGUCGCGUUGUUCGUGAAAACUCACAGCUUAACUGUGGGCGUGCGGGCGAUACGGGCAGACUGGAGUACUGCAGGGGAGACUGGAAUUCCUGGUGUAGCGGUGGAAUGCGCAGAUAUCAGGAGGAACACCGGUGGCGAAGGCGGGUCUCUGGGCCAUUACUGACGGCUGAGGAGCGGAAAGUGUGGGGAGCGAACAGG
rnacentral:rRNA from 1 species